rnacentral:rRNA from 1 species
ACGAACGCUGGCGGCGUGCUUAACACAUGCAAGUCGAACGAUGAAGCCUUUCGGGGUGGAUUAGUGGCGAACGGGUGAGUAACACGUGGGCAAUCUGCCCUUCACUCUGGGACAAGCCCUGGAAACGGGGUCUAAUACCGGAUAACACUUCCUCCUGCAUGGGAGGGGGUUAAAAGCUCCGGCGGUGAAGGAUGAGCCCGCGGCCUAUCAGCUUGUUGGUGGGGUGAUGGCCUACCAAGGCGACGACGGGUAGCCG